rnacentral:rRNA from 1 species
UACAGAGGGUGCAAACGUUGCUCGGAUUUACUGGGCGUAAAGCGCGUGUAGGCGGGCAUGUAAGUCGGACGUGAAAUCCCUGGGCUCAACCCAGGAACUGCGUUCGAAACUACAUGUCUAGAGUAGUGGAGAGGAAAGUAGAAUUCCCGGUGUAGAGGUGAAAUUCGUAGAUAUCGGGAGGAAUACCAGUGGCGAAGGCGGCUUUCUGGACACUUACUGACGCUGAGACGCGAAAGCGUGGGGAGCAAACAGG